rnacentral:lncRNA from 1 species
AUGAGCCCAAGUUCUUCUGAUGGUGCGGCUCAGACCCUGAGUCCUCUCCCAGAAGAUGGUACAUGUUCACUGGGAAGGAAGUGGCCUCUCACAUGGAGGUCUCAGCUUAUUUACUACUUCCUUAGAGAACCCUUCCUGGCCCCUUCAGUACACCAAAUUCUCCAAUUACAUGAAGGGUGGAGUCUAGUCUUGUGAUCUCAGCUCACUGCAGCAUCAACCUCCUGAGCUCAGGUGAUCUUCCCACCUCAGCCUCCCAAGUAGGUGGAAGUACAGGCAUGUGCCACCAUGCCUGGCUAAUUUUUUGUAGAGAUGGGGUUUUGCCGUGUUGCCCAGGC